rnacentral:rRNA from 1 species
UACGUAGGGGGCAAGCGUUGUCCGGAUUCAUUGGGCGUAAAGAGCGUGUAGGCGGCCAGGUAGGUCGGUUGUGAAAACUGGAGGCUCAACCUUCAGAGGUCGACCGAAACCAUCUGGCUAGAGUCCGGGAGAGGAGAGUGGAAUUCCUGGUGUAGCGGUGAAAUGCGCAGAUAUCAGGAGGAACACCGGCGGCGAAGGCGGCCCUCUGGCUCGUUGCUGACGCUGAAACGCGAAAGCGUGGGGAGCAAACAGG